AUGGACGCCGGCAAGACGCCUCAUCCGCUGCCUCUGAGCGCGGCCCAAAAGCAGAUCCGGGAUGAUGUCCCACAGGUCUGCGGAUGGGCGCUCUUCAACGCCUUCGCCAUCGCCGGCGGCCAAGCAUCCCUCUACAUAGCUGGCUACACCCACCUCGCGUGCAACCAGUCAUCAUCCAUUCUGCCCUGCCUCUGGAUCGGGAUGCUGUGCUGCGCCGCAACCCAGUCGGCCGCGGCGGCGCUGGCGCUGCUGCUCCCAUGCCACCGUCGCCGGGCCAUCACCUACCUCGCGCUCGCGGUCACUGUCCUCUUCCAUUGCAUUUACGCCAUCCACUUCCGGAUCUCCCUCGCCGCCUACCCAGGAGGAUACAUCUUCGGCUGGAUCUUUUACACCGUGGUCAUCUGCUACAUGGUGGUGCGCGACCUGACCUGCCUGACCGAUCUCCUUCGAGGUGAUGGUUGGGGCAAGCAGUAG
rnacentral:rRNA from 1 species